rnacentral:rRNA from 1 species
UACGAAGGGGGCUAGCGUUGUUCGGAAUAACUGGGCGUAAAGCGCACGUAGGCGGAUUUGUAAGUCAGGGGUGAAAUCCCGGGGCUCAACCUCGGAACUGCCUUUGAUACUGGAAGUCUGGAGUACGGAAGAGGUGAGUGGAAUUCCUAGUGUAGAGGUGAAAUUCGUAGAUAUUAGGAAGAACACCAGUGGCGAAGGCGGCUCACUGGUCCGGUACUGACGCUGAGGUGCGAAAGCGUGGGGAGCGAACAGG